UGGUAACACUGCAUGGACUGGCUCCAUGGUUCUUGCUUCCCAACCUGGUAACGAAGAAAGCAGCCACGCAUCUGAAACAGUGUGUGCUUCCCCUGCACUUCUGUCUCCCAAUGCUUCCCAACAUGGUAACGAAGAAAGCAGCCACGCAUCUGAAACAGUGCGUGCUUCCCCUGCAUUUCUGUCUCCCGAUGU